rnacentral:rRNA from 1 species
UCGGCAAUGGGCGAAAGCCUGACCGAGCGACGCCGCGUGUGCGAUGAAGGCCCUUCGGGUUGUAAGGCACUGUCGAGAGGAAACAAGCCGCAAGGUUGAGUGACCUCUGGAGGAAGCACGGGCUAAGUUCGUGCCAGCAGCCGCGGUAAGACGAACCGUGCGAACGUUGUUCGGAAUCACUGGGCUUAAAGGGUGCGUAGGCGGAAUGGCAAGUCGGAGGUGAAAGCCCCCAGCUUAACUGGGGAAGUGCCCUCGAUACUGCUGUUCUCGAGAGAGGUAGGGGCGUGUGGAACUUCCGGUGGAGCGGUGAAAUGCGUAGAUAUCGGAAGGAACGCCGGUGGCGAAAGCGAUGCGCUGGACCUUUUCUGACGCUGAGGCACGAAAGCUAGGGGAGCGAACGGGAUUAGAUACCCCGGUAGUCCUAGCCCUAAACGAUGGGUACUGGGUUGCGGGUCAGACAUGGACUCGCAGCCGAAGCAAAAGUGGUAAGUACCCCGCCUGGGGAGUAUGGUCGCAAGGCUGAAACUCAAAGGA